GAAGGAAGGAAGGAAGGAAGGAAGGAAGGAAGGAAGGAAGGAAGGAAAAGAAAGAAUUUAUACUAAACCCAUUGCACAGUGAUAACAAAAGUAAAUUCUGUAUUGCUUAUGGGGUCUCAGGACAAUUGUUUGUGCUCAAGUCAAUCACCACAGGCUGUGCCAUGCAAAUAAAAUAGAAGCACAUGGCAGUGGGUUUUGAAUAAGGGGUAGAGUGAAAGUGGAGAACAAAGAGAGGACAGAGAAAGAGAAGAUGAAAGAAAGAAAGGAAGAAAAGAAAGGAAGAAAGGAAGAAAGGAAGAAGGGAAGAAAGGAAGAAGGAUCACCAUUCCUGGCUCCAGUGUUGAUCAAGGCACUGAGGCAGCUUGCCUGGGAGACAUACCAUAAAUAUUGGGCAAACCAGCUGUGUAGCUCAUGAGGAUAGAAGAAAUUAAUAUUACAGUCCAAUGUCUGAGAAACUGGGACAUGGCCUGGCAAGAGAGCUGUUCAUUAUGUGACUGGCUGUUGGCUGGCUCCAGUCUGGUCCAUCUGUUCUUUCUCCAUCCUCUUGUGAGCCCUAGAGCUCUCACUGUCUUCAAUGGCAGUCGAUUAUGGGCUACUUGAUGGCUGUGCAGC